rnacentral:lncRNA from 1 species
AAGUUACAGAAGAAAAGAGACACACAACUGCAUGAUUUUCCUCUGUGUGACUGUUUCAUAUUAAUCUGAUAAUUUCAAAGGUUGUAGUUAAUGUGGCAUCUGUGAUGAUGAGGAUCGACUGGAGUUAUAUUUCAAGAAGCUAGAAGGAAGUCCAGAAACUGGUGUAAAUGCCUUGCUAAGGAUCAAAAUACAGGCAAUAAUCAUGAGCAGUGACCAGUGGAGCAUUUGGAAUACACCCUACAUACUUAUACUGGUCAAGCAAAAAGCAAGGGGACAGUCAGUGAGAUGGACAGUGUCAAACAUCCUUCCGAUGCAUAAGAAAUGCUUUCCGUGGAAUGCAAGAUGACUCUGUGGAAAGUGCUGUCAUGGAGGACCAGUGACUGAGACUUUUGUAAGUGAUUUUGUAAGUGACAGAUAAAUAAUGAGACAAACUUAUAGUGAAUUAUGAUAGUAACUUUGAAAGAAUUAUUUAAUAUAAUGUCUCAAGACUUGGAAAAAG